UGGCAACGGGUGAGUAACACGUGGGUGAUCUGCCCUGCACUCUGGGAUAAGCCUGGGAAACUGGGUCUAAUACCGGAUAGGACCAUGCUUUAGUGUGUGUGGUGGAAAGUUUUUUCGGUGUAGGAUGAGCCCGCGGCCUAUCAGCUUGUUGGUGGGGUAAUGGCCUACCAAGGCGGCGACGGGUAGCCGGCCUGAGAGGGUGUACGGCCACAUUGGGACUGAGAUACGGCCCAG
rnacentral:rRNA from 1 species